UCAUAGUAAGCGAAAUGGUAUUACACCAGAACGUCAGGUCGAGGUGUAGCUCACGAGGUGGGAAGAAAUGGGCUACAUUUUCUAUGUUAGAAUAAUACGAAUUAUACUAUGAAAUAAGUAGUUGAAGGUGGAUUUAGUAGUAAAAAACAAACAGAGAGUCUUUUUGAAUUAGGCUCUGAGAUGCGUACACACCGCCCGUCACUCUCCCUAAUUUAAGCAAUAUCAAAUGUAAAUAACC
rnacentral:rRNA from 1 species